rnacentral:rRNA from 1 species
CGUCAGUUCGUACUGUGAAGCAUCCUGUUAAGUCAGGCAACGAGCGAGACCCACGCCCACAGUUGCCAGCGUACUCUCUGGAGUGACGGGUACACUGUGGGGACCGCCGCUGCUAAAGCGGAGGAAGGAAUGGGCAACGGUAGGUCAGUAUGCCCCGAAUAUCCCGGGCUACACGCGAGCUACAAUGGUUGGUACAAUGGGUAUCUACCCCGAAAGGGGACGGGAAUCUCCUAAAACCAAACUUAGUUCGGAUUGAGGGCUGCAACUCGCCCUCAUGAAGCUGGAAUCCGUAGUAAUCGCGUUUCAACAGAACGCGGUGAAUACGUCCCUGCUCCUU